rnacentral:lncRNA from 1 species
AUGAAGCUGAACAUCUCCUUCCCAGCCACUUGCUGCCAGAAACUCAUUGAAGUGGAUGAUGAACGUAAACUUCAUACUUUUUAUGAGAAGUGUAUGGCUACAGAAGUUGCUGCUUAUGCUCUGGGUGAAGAAUGAAAGGGUUAUGUGGUCCAAAUCAGUGGUGGAAACGACUAACAAGGUUCCCCCAUGAAGCAGGGUGUCUUUACCCGUGGUCGUGUCCACCUGCUACUGAGUGAGGGGCAUUCCUGUUACAGACCAAGGAUAACUGGAGAGAGAAAGAGAAAAUCAUUUCAUGGAUGCCAGUCUGAGCGUUCUCAUCUUGGUUAUUGUAAAAAAAAAAAAAAAAAAAAAAAAGGAGAGAAGGAUAUUGGAUAUUCCUGGACUGACUGAUACUAUGGUGCCUCGUCGCCUGGGGCCCAAAAGAGCUAGCAGAAUCCACAAAUUUCUCAAUCUCUCUAAAGAUGAUGUUUGCCAAGUAUGUUGUAAGAAAGCCCUUAAACAAAGAAUGUAAGAAACCUAGGACCAAAGCACCCAAGAUUCAGCAUCUUGUUAAUCCAUGUGUCCUGCAACACAAACAGUGGCGUAUUGCUCUGAAGAAGCAGGGUACUAAGAAAAAUAAGGAAGAGACUGCAGAAUAUGCUAAACUUUUGGCCAAGAGAAUGAAGGAGGCUAAAGAGAAGCGCCAAGAACAAAUUGCAAAGAGACACAGACUUUCUUCUCUGCGACCUUCUACUUCUAAGCCUGAAUCCAGUCAGAAAUAA